GAUCCUCACUAGGACGGGCUCCCCGUGCUCCCGGCGUGACUGUCGACCGGGGCGGACUGUCCUCAGUGCGCCCGACUGCGUCUCGCUGCCGAGUCGGACCGAGCCACGAGCAGGGCGCCAGAGGUCCGCGGCGAUGUCGGUAACCCACCC
rnacentral:rRNA from 1 species